rnacentral:tRNA from 10 species
GCCACCGUAGCUCAGGGGUAGAGCACCGCAUUCGUAAUGCGGCGGUCGUCGGUUCAAAUCCGACCGGUGGCU